AGUGAAGCUAGUGGAUCCUGAAGUGAAGGAACGCAACAAUGAGGAAGAAGGAGGUGAAGAGUUGUCUGAUAUAUACCACUCACCGCAGUUUUCCAAGUUGAACUACGCGGAGAUGAUGGAGAAGUUCAAGGUUUGUAUAUAUGCUGAUGGAGAUCCCAAGACAUUUUAUCAAACACCUAGGAAGCUCACUGGGAAAUACGCUAGUGAGGGAUAUUUCUUCCAGAACAUUCGGGAGAGCAGGUUCCAAACCCUCGAUCCGGAUCAGGCACACCUCUUCUUCAUACCAAUCUCCUGUCAUAAGAUGCGUGGCGAGGUAAAUAUUUUCAGUAUUUUUUGGUUUUUGCAAUGUCUUUGGAUUAUUUUAACUAACUGUAUUUACAAGAAUGUGUAGCACUUUGUUGGAUAGGGGAGCGUUGUUAUUUUUUUAAGUGGUGGUUACUAUUGAGAUCUGAGAAGGUUGUGGCAUUUGGUUGAUGUCUUAGUGUCAAUAGCUGUCUUGUUAUGGUAAUAUGUUAAUAAUGGUAAUGAAUGGGUUUUUAAGGAUUAAUUUGUGAAUAAGGAAUGAGGAUAGGGCAAAGUGUUUGAACUUUGUUUCAGAUAUGCGGUAUUAGCACCGUUCUUCACUUGUUUCUUCAAAUUGGAGGCUGCAAAAGCUGCAAUGCUUGGAAAUUCAUUUCAAAGGAAGCCUACAAUCUUGAGAAAUGGGGGUACUCCACCAGUGGUUAAACCAAAACGAAGACCAUCUUUACAAUAUGGUGAUAAGUGCUAGCGUUCCUCGCGCAGCAUGUCUGUUAGUCCUACUCCUGAACGUGUUCGUGUCAGGGGCGGUCGCCAGCAUUUAACGCCAUAGCAUCCACUUUUGAGAAGCCUAAAGAUAGGAACCUUUCAACCCCACCUCCAAUUGUGAGAAAAGUGUAUCCAAAAUCAGGGACAGCAAACUUGAAUACUCUUUCUCUUGGUCUUGGAUCUAAGUCUUCAGCCAUAGCUCGGCUUACUUCUAGUUUUGAAAUGCCUUCAGCACGGGGAAAGUUGAUACCUCAGUCGCUUAGAGUGACUUCCAAUACACUCAAAUCAAACCCAAAAAGAAGUGAUAGUGAGGAUUCUAUGAGCAGCAGAUUAGAAUCUCUUACAGAGGAAGAUGCAAAAGAAGGUGAAGCUGACGACGAUGAAGGACUCCCAGUUUAUCCGUAUGGUAGCGUUAACACAGCUUCUAGCAAUCCAGUACCAGACAACGAGAGGCUUAUCUGUCAGCUACAGAGUUCAAAGAAAAACUUGGCAUGACGAAGACGAAUCUUACAAGUUGCCGAAAUGAAAACAAAACAAACUCAAAGUGACCGUUCAAUUGUUCUGAGGUUUACAUUAUACUUUGCCUCGUGUUGAUUCAAUGCAGUUCAAGUUGCAAGUAGAAGGAAACUUUGCCUGUCACUGUCUACAUAUUUUUUAACUUCCACAUUGUUGUCUUUGCUCUUUUUCUUAUACACCUCAGAUAUGCUAUCUAUUCUGUAGUGAUAAACUGGCAUGGAUUGAAAGGGACAUCAUCAGUGUUUUUUAACAUAGCUACUUCUGCUCCUCCCAAGAUGGAUUUCAUGAUGUAGAGAGAAACUGGAGAUUUUCCACCAUUCUCCACCUUUAUUUGUAGUGGUUUGAUGAUGUGCAGAGUUUUUUUCUUUGUUGAGAACUGCUUGAGGUUGCCUUUAUUGAGUUCUCUCUAAUCAUUCUUUCAUUCAUUAUUAAUUUUGGUGAAGCAAUUUUGAACUUGCAAUUUGAUAAUAUCUUAGGUUGUAUUGAUAAUUGAGGAUAACAUUUGUACAGCAGAGUGUAUAAACCACUCAAGUUAUCUUUUUUGCAAAUAAAAGUAUCAUCUUUUUCUC